rnacentral:tRNA from 1 species
GUCCCCGUAGCUCAGUGGACAGAGCGGCUGCCUUCUAAGUAGCGGGUCGCAGGUUCGAAUCCUGCCGGGGACGCCA